AUGAUGCGUGUUUGUCUUCUUCUGUUAUAUUGGUGUUUGCCAUAACAACUUGUUGGAUGACUGCCACCAACUGUUGGCCGUAGCCUAGAGCAUCAGGUGCGUGAAAACAUGGAGACCAUAAUAACAAAGAUUUGCUUAUUCUUAUGGGAGGAUACAAACAGCACAUCAACAGGUGUUUUUUUAUACAUAGGCCUAUUUAUGAAUAAUUUGAAACAUGUUAUGGCUGUGUAUGUUUCUUGGCAGAGGCGUUUGUCCACCAUCAACAGUUUAUUGUCAUUGAAAUAUUUUCAGUGAACCAAAGUCGCCUCCAUCAAACGUCAGUUGUCAACGCGUCACCAACUGGGGAACUUUGUUAGCAAAAUC